CAAGAUUCUUGCUGAGGGGCGUCUCCCAAUUAUAGUCUUUUAGUUUGUGGUUGCUUUGAAUCUGAGAUUCACAAACGGGUGCACAGGCAAUGCUGUGCAGGAAGCCUCGGCCACUGGAGUUCCACACAGCAGGCUGCAGAGCUCCCGCGAGCCUGCAGCAGCCCAGCCUCAUGCACGUCCCAAGGUGCCCUUCCUGCUGCCAGUGAGGAUGCCUGGGGCAAAUAAUGAUAUCUCUGGGCUUCGGACAACUGACUCUCUUGUUGCAUUGAACUGAGCCAGGCACUGAAUUCACUGAAACUUGCUGGGCUGCGUCCUCACUUGGUUUUUUCCUUUGUUUCAGACACGGCACUCGUUGUGCGGGAGAAGUUGCUGCUUCAGCAAACAAUUCCUACUGCAUCGUGGGCAUAGCGUACAAUGCCAGAAUAGGAGGUAAGGCCGGGCGCGCCAGCCUGCGAGCCGAGGGGCCUGGGGCAGGGGCAGCUGGGAGCUCCCUGUCCGCUGGUCUCAGCAGCCUCCUGUUUUUUGGCUUUGGCCAUGUCAGCAGAUCCCUGGGCCAGACGCAGCAGUGCCGUCUGUAUCAUGGCCCAGGCAGCUGACCCACAGGGACUGGGGCCUCAAGACAGAGGAACUGCUUACUGUUUUGCCUGAAAAGCCAUUGCAGUUCCCAUCAGAAAGGUACCCUCUCUCCUCUGGUCCUGCUGGCCUGGCUGCUGACUCCUAGAAGGCUGCGUUGAUUCCCCGCUGCCCAUAGCCUUCAGUGGCUCCGUCACUUCCCAGACAGAGUGACAGCUUUUACCUGGGACCAGAGCCUUCCCUGGGUUCCGACUCCCACUCAAGCCUGCUGGCCCACUUCUCCUGCCCCUGCUCUGGCCUUAGAGGACAUUUGUCAUAGUGUCCCUUAGACACAUCUGGUCUUCCCGAUUGAUGCCUGGGCUUGAACCGUUCCCAUCCCCGCCUCCCCCCGUCUUUCCACUUGGCUCUGUCCACCUGUGCCUUAUGGCAGCUCAUGCCUGCUCUGUUCUGUGAAGUGCUCCCUAGAUCCAGCUGUCCCCCGUCUCAUUCACCAGGGAAUCACCUCUUCUUGGUCCCUUUACGGAGCAGCAGCCGCCCCCGCCCCAGCGUGCGUCUGGUCUUGCCAUUUAGCUUCUCACACUGCUCAGUCAAGCUGCCCUUGCUAGGAUGAGGCUUUGGAGUAAAGUGUUGAAUGUCUUCCUAUUCCCCAUGGGAGCCCGGCAGUGUGACAGCUCAGUCACCAAGUGCUCUGAAGGCCCCUCUAGGUGCAUGUCACUGACCCGGGAACUGAGCAAGUGGGGGCAGCAGAGAGGAGUGCCAGAGGGCCUCCAGGGACUGCGACCUCACCCAGGAGGCCUGUCUGCCUCUCAGUCCGAAGGUGCGCCUGCUCACUCAGGUGGCUGCAGUGGGAAACCACCUUCCCGGGGGGGCACUGCUGUUCCUGCCACUGAGCCUUGGUGAGGGUGGCUGCAGCCGCUUUCUGCCGUCCUGCCACCGAGCCUUGGUGAGGGUAGCUGCAGCCGCUUUCUGCCAUUCUGCCACCGAGCCUUGGUGAGGGUGGCUGCAGCCGCUUUCUGCUGUUCUGCCACCGAGCCUUGGUGAGGGUGGCUGCAGCCGCUUUGGCUCCACUUAUGAGCAGUACCAGGCAGGGAGGUUGGGCCACGGUUCCCUGGAUUACCAGUCCUUGGGGGAAUUUCUUGUGUUUCAAAAAGAGGGUCCUUAGCUUUUACUUAAUUAGGACUCUGCCUGCCUUUUCCCAUGGAAAUCUUGAAAGUGGCUUGGAUUUUCAUUUUAUAGCAGAAUUAACCCCCAAGGGCGCGUUCUGCAGAACAAAUCAGGAGACUCUGUCAACUGGCCUGGCUCCUUUGUGGAUAGUUCUUGCAAACUGAGAUAUAUAAGUUCUCCCUGGAGUCUUUGAUGAUGGAUGCAGAGCCCUGAGACGUCUCUCCAGGAUCUGUAGAAUCGGGCCAACCUGGGUGCCAGUUCCAUUCCCACCACUCACUGUCUGUGUGUCAUUGAACAACUUACAUAACCUCUCUGAGCCAAGGUUUCUUUACCUGUGGGGUGAAAUGACCACAAGGCAGCUGCCUCCCCAGUUUUGUUAUGAGGAUGAAGUCAGAUACCAUGUGUGAAACCAUCGGCUUGGGCUAAGUCUGCAGGGGAUAGCUGAGCUCCUCCUUCCCUCUUGCUGAGACUCUCAGUGGGAGAAUAAAAACCAUUUGUGUUGCUUUGAAUGAGGGGUGGACCCCACCUUUGGAGCUGCUUGAGCCUUGCCCCCUUUGGAGCUGCUUGAGCCUUGCCCCCCCCAAGUCCCUAGACUUUGAGCAUGGCAUCCUCUGGGAGCCGUUAGAAAUGCAGAAUCCCCACCCCAGGCCUACGGAGUCAGGGUCUGCAUUAUAACAAGAUCGCAGGGGAUUUGUCUCCAAGUGACAGUGUGAGAAGCGCUGGUUUAGAGGACUCCCUGGGUCUCACAGGUAGGUAACACCUGCGUCAUGGAUUGUGGGGAGGAGUCAGUGGAAGUAACAUGCAUAAAGAUCCUCCCAGAUGAGGUGCACAGUAAAUACAGCGUUACCGGUAGAUAGCGCUACACUCAUCACCAAACUCUU
rnacentral:lncRNA from 1 species